UACGUAGGGUGCAAACGUCGCUCGGAAUCAUUGGGCGUAAAGCGCACGUAGGCGGCGCAGCAAGUCGGGUGUGAAAGCCCUCGGCUCAACCGAGGAAGUGCAUUCGAAACUACUGGGCUUGAAUACUGGAGAGGGUCGCGGAAUUCCCGGUGUAGAGGUGAAAUUCGUAGAUAUCGGGAGGAACACCAGCGGCGAAGGCGGCGACCUGGACAGAUAUUGACGCUGAGGUGCGAAAGCGUGGGGAGCAAACAGG
rnacentral:rRNA from 1 species